CCUACGGGUGGCAGCAGUGGGGAAUAUUGCACAAUGGGGGAAACCCUGAUGCAGCAACGCCGCGUGAGUGAUGAAGUCUUUCGGUAUGUAAAGCUCUGUCAGCAGGGACUAUAAAAGAGGGUACCUGAAAGCAAAGCACCGGCUAACUACGUGCCAGCAGCCGCGGUAAUACGUAGGGGGCAAGCGUUAUCCGGAUUUACUGGGUGUAAAGGGAGCGUAGACGGAAAGUGAAGUCAGAAGUGAAAACCCAAGGCUCAACCUUGGGCCUGCUUUUGAAACUGGCAAACUAGAGUGAGGGAGAGGAAAAUGGAAUUCCUAGUGUAGCGGUGAAAUGCGUAGAUAUUAGGAGGAACACCAGUGGCGAAGGCGUCUCACUGGACCGAAACUGACGCUGAGGCUCGAAAGCGUGGGGAGCAAACAGGAUUAGAUACCCGUGUAGUC
rnacentral:rRNA from 1 species